UGCGGAGGAUCAUUACCGAGUGCGGGUCCUUUGGGCCCAACCUCCCAUCCGUGUCUAUUGUACCCUGUUGCUUCGGCGGGCCCGCCGCUUGUCGGCCGCCGGGGGGGCGCCUCUGCCCCCCGGGCCCGUGCCCGCCGGAGACCCCAACACGAACACUGUCUGAAAGCGUGCAGUCUGAGUUGAUUGAAUGCAAUCAGUUAAAACUUUCAACAAUGGAUCUCUUGGUUCCGGCAUCGAUGAAGAACGCAGCGAAAUGCGAUAACUAAUGUGAAUUGCAGAAUUCAGUGAAUCAUCGAGUCUUUGAACGCACAUUGCGCCCCCUGGUAUUCCGGGGGGCAUGCCUGUCCGAGCGUCAUUGCUGCCCUCAAGCCCGGCUUGUGUGUUGGGUCGCCGUCCCCCUCUCCGGGGGGACGGGCCCGAAAGGCAGCGGCGGCACCGCGUCCGAUCCUCGAGCGUAUGGGGCUUUGUCACAUGCUCUGUAGGAUUGGCCGGCGCCUGCCGACGUUUUCCAACCAUUCUUUCCAGGUUGACCUCGGAUCAGGUAGGGAUACCCGCUGAACUUAAGCAUAUCAAUAAGCGGAGGAAAAGAAACCAACCGGGAUUGCCUCAGUAACGGCGAGUGAAGCGGCAAGAGCUCAAAUUUGAAAGCUGGCUCCUUCGGAGUCCGCAUUGUAAUUUGCAGAGGAUGCUUUGGGUGCGGCCCCCGUCUAAGUGCCCUGGAACGGGCCGUCAGAGAGGGUGAGAAUCCCGUCUUGGGCGGGGUGUCCGUGCCCGUGUAAAGCUCCUUCGACGAGUCGAGUUGUUUGGGAAUGCAGCUCUAAAUGGGUGGUAAAUUUCAUCUAAAGCUAAAUACUGGCCGGAGACCGAUAGCGCACAAGUAGAGUGAUCGAAAGAUGAAAAGCACUUUGAAAAGAGAGUUAAACAGCACGUGAAAUUGUUGAAAGGGAAGCGCUUGCGACCAGACUCGCCCGCGGGGUUCAGCCGGCAUUCGUGCCGGUGUACUUCCCCGUGGGCGGGCCAGCGUCGGUUUGGGCGGCCGGUCAAAGGCCCCUGGAAUGUAGUGCCCUCCGGGGCACCUUAUAGCCAGGGGUGCAAUGCGGCCAGCCUGACCGAGGAACGCGCUC
rnacentral:rRNA from 1 species